ACGAUCAACUUAAUAUCUAUUGUAUCUUCUCGCUUUAAAUUUCAAUUCAACUCACCUUUUAUGGAUCUACCGCAUGUAAUUGAAUCCAGCUAUCAUAAUAGAUGUGUAAAAUACCUUGGUAUAGUGGAAUAUGCUUGUGGUUGCAGAGGAAUGCUCCGGUGCAAUCUACUUGCAGUAUUCUACUCCAAGUAGAAUUGAUCUCGACCGUUUAUUUUAAAGGGCAGGUAAGUAAUCUCCUAAUAUUGUUUAGGGGUAAUUUUGGCAUGGAUUAUUUUCUUCUGUUCGAUCGCAUCAGGUCGGACUCCGCAUCGCAUCGCAUCAGGUCCGACUCCGUUGCACGCAGUCUCGUCGCUAUUCCUCCCCCGGCGUCGCCGCCUUGUCCACCCCCUCCGUCGCCGUCCGUAUCCCCCGUCCUCUCAGUCGCCGCCUUGUCCGCCUCCUCAGUCGCCGUCUGCCUCCCCCGCCCUCGCUGCCUUCUCCGCUCCCUCCGUCCCCGUACGUUUCCCCUGCCCUCUCCGUCGCCGUCCGUUGGCCCCGCCCUCUCCACCUCCGGCACCGUUGGCGUCUCCUCCCCCUUCAGUGCCCUUGCCUCCUCCGUCGUCUUCCUACCGCGCGUGGCAUCAGGUCGGAGGCAGGCACCGGCAGGCGGCGGCGCGGCCGGCAGCUAGUCCUCCCGGCAAGCGGCGUCGCGGCCGGUGGCGCGGCGCGUCGCAUCUGUCCGACGCAAGCACCGGCAAGCGGCGGCGCGGUGAAAUCCUCAGGUCCUGGAUGAUGAUCAUGGAGCUGUGGUUUACCCUGUCAGGAGGUCAGUAGCUCCUCCUGCAGUUCAGCGUUGGGGCGACAUCCCUGGGCAGCAUAACUGCGGCGCACCUGGUUGCCCUGAGAUGAUUCCGGCGCAAGCACAGUUCUGUUGUUUGCGUUGCAAGGCUGCAGUUCAUUGCUGCUUAUUUAUUUUUAAAGGAGUGUAAUGAACAAAUAAAUUUAGUUGCCUUUUUAAAUAUUAGGAUUAAAUGAUCUACAACUGGAAUGGUGACUUCAUUUUGUGAUGCUUGUGUGAUGCUUUAAUGGUGCUGUUUGCUGGAAUGAUGCUAUUGUUGAUGCUGGAAUGAUACUGCUACUAUUGGAAAUUGUGCUGCUGCUAGAACUGCACUGUUGUUGCUGGAAUGAAACUGAAUUGCUGUUGUUGGAA